AUGGUGUUCUUCGCGCUGCUCGUGGGGGCAGAGCUCGACGGCCUCACCAACCUGCAGCCCCGCGGCGGCUGCGACGACCCCAGCUACCCUUACUACUUCAAGCUGCGGUGCGAGAGCUGCGGGGAGACGAGCGCCAAGACCACCUGCGUCUCCCUCGACGAGGUCGUCCAACUGCCCACUGGCAAAGGCACCGCCAAUCUCCUCCAGAAGUGCAAGUUAUGUUCGAGGGAGGGAUCAGUUGUGGUGAUUCCUGGGCAGGGAACACCACUGACUGCUGAGCAGAGCCAGAAAGGAGAGAUGACUUGUUUGAUGGUCUUUGAAUGCAGAGGCUAUGAACCUAUUGAGUUCGCUUUUGGUAAUGGCUGGAAGGCUGAAUCUCAUGCUUGUUAUGGUUUUAUUGGUGUUCUAAUAAUCUCCCUCUUCUUUAAGGUACAUGGGACACCAUUUGACAUUGAUCUUUCUGAAGGAGAGUUUGAUGAGUAUGAUGAGAAGGGAGAGUGCCCUGUCGCUCUAUCCAAGCUGCAGUCAACAUUCAAAGUGGUGAAGAAGCAGGGUUUUCAUGGGAAGACCAGAUAUGUCUAA
rnacentral:rRNA from 1 species